AGUCAAGUAAUUAAGUGCAUGUGGUGGAUGCCUUGGCAGUCAGAGGCGAUGAAAGACGUGAUAGCCUGCGAAAAGCUCCGGGGAGGCGGCAAAUAUCCUUUGAUCCGGAGAUGUCUGAAUGGGGGAACCCACCUACUUUAAGGUAGGUAUUGCAACAUGAAUACAUAGUGUUGCAAGGCGAACGAGGGGAAGUGAAACAUCUCAGUACCCUUAGGAAAAGAAAUCAAUUGAGAUUCCCUCAGUAGCGGCGA
rnacentral:rRNA from 1 species